rnacentral:lncRNA from 1 species
AUGGACUAUCAGGAAUAUAAGGGUCCAUUUACUCAAAAACACUUCUUGAAUAACACAGAUUUGCUGAAGAACAAUGGGAAGAGAAGACAAAUUUCACCAGGUAUUAGAAAACUUGAUACACCUCCUUACAGGUAUCCAAAGAACAGGAGAAAUUAUAGAAAAUAUUAACACUGAAGAAAUGAAUAAUAUGAGAUGACAG